GCAGGAUUGUCCCUAGAGUCCAUUUGAGAUGGGCGCAGAAAUUUAGUUCAGGUAAUUAUCCUUUCUUUUCAAGUGAAUUAAGGAACCAGGAAUUCCUGCUUAUCUGACAGAAGUGUAGAUUUCCUUCCUUAAUGCUUGUCACCUGCGAGACAAGUCACACAGGUAAAUCUCAAACUGUGCCUUUGUGCCCCAUCUAAAGUGGAUUUUGGAUGUCUCUGCGGAGUAAUGCUCCAAGGACGUUAUAGUUCAGAGAAAAUGGUAAUGUCUGUGUAUAAAAUGUGAAUUACUUUAAUAGGCUUUGGCAGCACAAGUCUCAACAAGACGAUCCACCCCUGCUAAUCUAGAGCAUACGGGUUUUCUCUUCCUUUUCUUUUUUUUUUAAAAAGUCUGAAUAUAAUUUCUCUAAGCUGCAAUUUAUAAUGCUAACGUUUUACCGUUUUACCCCCCUCAUUAAGGAGAGGAAGAAAGCUUCUAAGCCACUCUAUUGAGCUGUUGAAAAACGUCUUACAUUGAAAUUCUGAUUUAGAGAUAGGCACAAUCCAUCUGCUUUGCAUACCUUUGCCCUUUAAACCAGUAUUUGUGAUAUAAAGAAGCACACAGCUUGCAGAGUAGCUGAAAUGUGUACUUCCAUUUUUUAUCUAGGAGAACACCGUGAACAGGUUAAAGGGGCAGAAAUGCAGCAGUUUGGCUGAGCUAUCCCAGAAGCUUCCUACAGUUUACCUACAUUUCUCCUGGCAGGAUGUGAGCAUCCUAUGAGAAGGAAAACCUCACCAAUAACUUACAAAGUAAGUUGGUGAAUAAAAAAAUAAAAACUCACCACCUUUGGCCUCUACCAACCCCAGUGAACAGGAAUAUAAUUAAAAAAUGGAAUUUCACCUUUCCAACAGAAUAAACUCGACAUCCAGAUGUGGGCACAGGAUCCACCAGCACUCCCUUAAGCCAGCAGGGAUCCUUGUUUUAUAAAAAUAGAAUCACAUUUUAGGCUUGAGUCUAUUACACAGCAGCAGUUCCUGUUGAGAGCAUCUCUGGGCAUCCAGCUCAGUGAUUUCAAAAGAGAAAAGCCUCAGUGGCACUGAUUAAUGGAAAGGCCUGGAUAUACUGGUGGAUCUGGAAAGCAUCUCGUAAUCUUUGACAGACAAGAUGUUUCUUAUUCUGAUGGGAUUUGAUCAUUGUUUAUGAAAUUAUGUGAGUGACAUAGCAUCACUGUUAUUUUUAUCCUGGCAUUACAGCUGGUCUAAUAAUUUGGGUAAUAAAGUUACUUAUUUUGGCAAUAAAUCAUCAUAUGUAUCCAGAGUUCUUAUCAACAUUUUCAUUUAUUAAUAUUCCCUGUCAGAAAUCUUAUCAAUAUUUUUCCACAUUUGUUUUUUUUAGAAAUCCUCUGAUUUAAACUUGUAUUAAACUUGUAUUAAUGCAAACCAGUUGAUUUAUUUUAAAUGGUGACAUCAUUUUACUCCAGUCUGUAGAGGUUUACACUUAGCCUGAAUUAAAGUGUCCACACUGACUUUAACAGGAAUAUUUCCAGUUUAUCAGGUGGCUGUUUAGAAUAUGCAUUUUUUUAUUAUACACCAAAUUUUCAUUUCCAUCUCCAUAUGCAUUUACACCUGUGUUUGAACCUGUGUGAGCAUACACUUGUUUUCAUCAUUUUCCCAUGUGGUUUCUGCCUAUUUUUCCUUUCCUUUUCCACAGAAGAAUCACAGAAAUCAUGAAGGCUGGCAAAGGCUCCCAAACUCAUCCAGCUCACCUUUCUAAACACAACUGAGGGAAAUAUUUACAAUGGUUUUAUUAUUAAGAAUGUUGCUAAGAAAAACAUUAAAAAAUUAAUAAAAAUAACUGAAAAUUAUAACUUGUAAUAACCUAUCUCAAAAUUUCUGAAAACCAGAAAAUCCUCGAGACAGAACAAUCUCUUUGACAGCUGGAUGGGUGAGUAACACAUCACAUUUAUGCUGGGAAAGGAGAAUGAAAACCCAUCCUGAAGGAACAAGAGGUGGGAUAAAAACACCAGAGGUUACUUUACCAUAAGUCAAGUCCAGCCAACUACUACCAGUAGUAACUCAGAUCUCAAGGAAAGCUGAGGACACUCCUGAAAUAAUGAAAAUUUUCUUCCUGAAAUAAUGAUCAGCACAGGAAAAUGAAGACAUUCUGUGGAUGAACAGACCAUCGCAGGCUGAACAUGAUCGAUUCUACGUGGAGAGUUAAUAAUUUAUCAUUAAGGAACAAACUGAGAAAGAAUUUAUGCUGUCAGUUCAUGCAGUGGGGAUAAAAGAAGAUAUUUAUUUAGCUCUGUUUUUGCAAUAAUAAAAUUUGGAUUAAUUUACAGCAGCAGCUCAGUGGAGAUGUCUGCUCCAUAAAGGGAGGGAAGGCAAAGAGGGAACCAUGGAGCAAAUAUAAUUGUCUUGAAAGCUGUGGUUUAACAGAAACAAGCCUGGAAAAGAUUCCUUGAGCCACUGAGUUAAGCCCAGCUCCUCCUUCUCUCACUGUAUAAAAUUCUCACCAGAGCUCACUCUGAAAGAACUGAAUGUAAAUAUAAAUCUUCAGCUGAAAUACAGCAGAAGUUCUACAAACCCCAGCGUGCUCACAUCUGUCACAGCCACUUUGCACUAAGACUUUAAGAAACUUGUGUUACAGCUCAGCCAUCAGAUUUGAUUUUCCUACCACCUUGAACACCUAAAAAGAUUUUGGAGGCA